rnacentral:lncRNA from 12 species
GCUGCCUCGCCCUCCGUGAGGCAGCACAUUUCUGGCAAGGAUUUGACAGAAGCCUGGGAGCAUGACAAAGAUUUGAUUGAUUCUGCAGCACACUGCAUAGACUGAGACUUUUUGAUGUCGUGUUAAACUUGAGAUUGUCUGGCUUUCAAGAACGUUCCUCUCCCAGUUUGCCUGGCCCGUGAAUUUUAGGCAGCGUAUCUGUAGUUCACAUUCCCUGCGCCAGUCCUUGAACACAGACUUCUGAGAGACGUUUUAAAAAUACGACACUUUCAUUGGGUUCUCAGAGGACACGCAGGAGGAAAUGUCUCUGGAGGAUCUGACCUCCCUUCCUCUGGAGGCGCCUCUCAGAAAUGUCACAGUAGAGCACGACUGGCAUUGUCCCCCCAGAAGCACAGAGGGCCAGCUGGGAACAUUUAGAAUGCUGAGCAAUGAUAACUGUGAAAUUAUGAGCAGAUUGUCUGCUCUCUUCUUUCUGCAUCCACCUCUUCAUAGCCAUGACCAAAUGUUCCAUGAAGAACUUCUGCAAUCCUGCAAGUAAGUCAAACCUCUUACUAGUACUUACCGAAGAAGAGACUUUUUCAUUGCGCAAUGACAUUCUCUUUACUUAAAGUCUCUAUCAUAGUAGCUUCCUACUCACUUUUCUAUACACACACACACACACACACACACAUAUAUAUAUCUCCAAUUUCAUAUAGUUAAAAAAAACAUUAACCCACCCUUCAUGCUUACUACCAAAGUGGGAGCUACUGAUGCUGGAUGGUGUUUUUGUUUUUUUUGUGGGUUUUUUUUUUAUUUUUUUUUUUAUAAAUCUUUUUAUUUGUUACCCUUGACUACACUUGAUUAUUUCCAACUCUAGGGAAGAUUGUGGAAACGUAUUUUGAAAAAAGGCAUUAAUCAAAAAAAAAAAAAGAAAGAAAGAAAAGAAAAAAGGCAUUAAUCUGUACUCCAUAGAGCACCAGGCACAACAUCUCUCCUUCAAUCUGGAGUUAAAUAUAUUUUUUGUGAUGAUGAAAAAUGUCACAUACUGAAUAACUGUGUCUGUUGACAUUAACAGCUGUGAAAAGAAUUAUCAAAAUAACUGAGGAUGGUAAGAAGUAAAAGUGUGGCCUUAGUCAUAUGUUUGUGUGUGUGUGUGUACAUGUAUGUGUAGAUUAGACUUAUACACACACACAGGGAAUUUCUGUAACAUUUUGCCACAUACUGGAGAGCUUUUAUGUUGGGUCCUCUCUGGGCCUCAUCGCCCACCCUGGAGGCCCACAGAAGUGCUUGAGUUGUGCCUUAUAGAUCAGUUAGGAUUCUUCUAGCCACAAGAAACAAAACCCAGUGCCACAUGACCUAUACCAUAAGGUAAGCUUCUCUAACUUAACAAGAGGUCCCCUAAGAUACGGUAUCUCCAGGGUGUCCUUAAAAAUCCCAGGGUCUUCUAAACAAUGCAAUAGUACUAUGCCUUAAAAAGAAAUAAAAUUCCGAUACGUGCUCCA